UUGUAGAAGGUACGUUUUGAUAUUGAACUUCCCAGGUGUUAUGGCAAUUUAACACUUGAUACAUUACAUAUUUCGGCUAGAAAUAAGUCUCUAUUGGAUGCCGACAAAACUAACUACUGCUCCACAACGUGGAUAUUAAAGAGAGGCCAAGCAAUAGGAAGCAGUAAUCAACCAUCUUUCUUCUGCCAGCAGAAAUAACAAGAACAGUGAGAGGGUCCAAGUCAUUGAGCUGGUCCAAAUGGGGCUGUAGUUUGCAAUGUAUUGUCUGUUUCUUAGCUAGAUACUUGUAAAAGACCGGACGACUCGGUUGGAAUAUAGCAAGAAAAACCUUGGAAUCGCGACUUGUUAACCCACGGCACAUCUGGAGGUUUAUGAUUAGUAGACUGGCUAUAGCUAUUAGAAUUUGUAUUCAUUUUUUCAUGUUUCCAAUAGGUUUACCUUCCCCUAAUCCCCCACCGCCAACCCAAGAGGCUAGACCAGCAGCUUCAGAUGUAAAUAACGACAGCAGUAUCACGUCUUCGAAGAAGAGGAAAAUAAACAGUUCUGAGAGGGAAGACAUUGAUUCAAUCUCUUCAUCUCCUAAAACCACAAAUUAUUCACCUUCCUCCUGCACCUCCACUUCGCAACACAUUCAGAAGAAGUUGAGGUUCGAAGAUUCAGUAGAUUUCAUUGGACUGGAUGUGAAAAUGGCCGAGGAGUCGUCUGCAUCGUGUUCUUCUAACAAGAUGAAAACAGUUUUUUUGGCUGGGGGUGUUGGGCACCAUGCAAACGGGCUGACGAAAACGGCAGGCUCCACUACCUUCUCCAACAGCAAACCUGGCGCUGCAAAGAAACUAGUCAUCAAGAACUUCAAAGAAAAGCCCAAAUUGCCAGAGAACUACACACACGAGACCUGGCAAAAGCUAAAGGAGGCGGUCGAGGCCAUUCAGAACAGCAUUUCAAUCAAGUACAAUCUUGAGGAGCUCUACCAGGCUGUGGAGAACCUCUGCUCCCAUAAGAUAUCAGCCAAGCUCUACAAACAACUGCAGGUUGUGUGUGAAGACCACAUCAAGGCACAAAUCGAUCAAUUCAGAGAGGAUGCACUGGACAGUACACUCUUCCUGAAGAAAAUAGACAAGUGUUGGCAAGAUCACUGCAGACAAAUGAUCAUGAUUAGAAGUAUAUUUUUGUUCUUGGACCGCACCUAUGUUUUACAAAAUUCAAUGCUCCCGUCAGUCUGGGACAUGGGCCUGGAGUUGUUUAGGUUUUACAUUAUCAGCGACAUGAAGGUCCAGAGCAAGACCAUCGACGGAAUCCUGCUGCUCAUCGAGAGGGAGCGCAGCGGCGAGACCGUCGACCGUAGCCUGCUGCGGAGCCUAUUGAGCAUGCUUUCUGACCUGCAGAUUUAUCAGGACUCCUUUGAGCAGCGCUUUUUGGAGGAGACUAAUCGUCUGUAUGCCGCUGAGGGACAGAGGCUGAUGCAGGAGAGAGAGGUCCCAGAUUAUCUCCAUCACGUCAACAAACGCUUAGAGGAGGAAGCAGACAGAGUCAUCACGUAUCUAGACCAGAGCACACAAAAACCUCUCAUUGCCACUGUGGAAAAGCAACUACUGGGUGAACAUCUCACUGCAACACUGCAGAAAGGCUUGAAUCACCUGCUAGAUGAGAACAGAAUCCAGGACUUGUGUCUUCUCUAUCAGCUCUUCAGUCGGGUGAGAGGGGGCGUGCUAGUCCUCCUACAACACUGGAUCGAGUACAUCAAGGCCUUUGGAAGUACGAUGGUCAUUAACCCUGAGAAGGACAAGACCAUGGUACAGGAGCUGCUGGACUUCAAGGACAAGGUGGACCACAUCAUCCACGUCUGUUUCAUGAAGAAUGAGAAGUUUGUCAAUGCCAUGAAGGAAGCCUUCGAGACCUUCAUCAACAAGAGGACAAACAAACCUGCUGAGCUCAUUGCAAAACACGUGGAUUGGAAACUGAGGGCGGGGAACAAGGAGGCCACGGACGAGGAGCUGGAGAAGAUGUUGGACAAGAUCAUGAUCAUCUUCCGAUUCAUUUAUGGAAAAGACGUUUUUGAGGCCUUCUACAAGAAAGAUCUGGCCAAGAGGUUGCUGGUGGGAAAGAGUGCCUCCGUGGAUGCCGAGAAGUCCAUGCUGUCGAAACUGAAACAUGAAUGUGGAGCGGCAUUCACCAGCAAGCUGGAAGGCAUGUUCAAGGACAUGGAGCUUUCCAAGGACAUCAUGGUGCAGUUCAAACAGUGUCAAAACCUCCCUGGUAACAUUGAGCUGACAGUGAACAUCCUCACCAUGGGAUACUGGCCCACCUACGUCCCAAUGGAGGUUCAUCUGCUCCCAGAGAUGGUGCGGCUGCAGGAGAUUUUCAAGACGUUUUACCUCGGCAAGCACAGUGGCAGAAAGCUACAGUGGCAGUCGACAUUAGGCCAUUGUGUUUUAAAAGCUGAAUUUAAAGAGGGCAAAAAGGAGCUUCAGGUAUCCCUGUUUCAGACACUAGUGCUGCUCAUGUUCAAUGAAGGAGAGGAAUUCACCUUAGAGGAGAUCAAGCUAGCUACAGGAAUAGAGGAUGGCGAGCUGCGGCGGACCCUGCAGUCGUUGGCGUGUGGCAAGGCGCGCGUCAUCCAUAAAGUCCCCAAAAGCAAAGACGUGGAGGACGGAGACAAGUUCUCGUGUAACGAUGACUUCAAACACAAACUCUUCAGGAUCAAGAUCAACCAGAUCCAGAUGAAAGAAACGGUGGUCCCGGGAAUUGAACCCACCAUCCUGGCGUUGCCAGUGCCAUGCCCUACUAACAGAGCUACUUCACCAAUCUCACCCAUUUGAUUCUAUCUGUAUUGUCUAUCUAUAAAUAAAAGGAAAAUGGGUGGGGGGGAUAUUAGCCACUCAUUCAUUUGGUGGAUUGUCCUUGGUAGGUGGAGGAGCAAGCCAGCACCACGGAACGAGUCUACCAGGACCGGCAGUAUCAGAUCGAUGCCGCCAUCGUCAGGAUCAUGAAGAUGAGGAAGACUCUGAGCCAUAACCUCUUGGUGUCGGAAGUGUACAACCAACUCAAGUUCCCUGUCAAGCCUGCUGACCUAAAGAAGAGAAUAGAGUCUCUCAUUGACAGAGAUUACAUGGAGCGCGACAAGGAGAACCCCAACCAAUACAACUAUGUGGCUUAAAGCGAGUUAGACAGAGUGAGGGAUGAAGAGAGGGAGAUGGAGAGCAGGUGGUCCAGUCAGGCUGAAGGCUUCCCUGAGCACUCUGUCCCAUGGAUGCUCUUCCUCUUGCUCUUCUGCACACAUGGAUGUCAGCGUUACCCUCUUUAACCCAGCAACCGACAACUGAAUGGAUACUGCUCAGCGGGAUUUUAUCAGGGGCCUGUUUUCCUGUGGACUGCAUGCCCAUUAAACAAGAAUAUCGUCCAUUCAUUUCUCAGUGCCGCUCGGUGAGAAUUGGACUAGCUACCUUGGACAAAAAAAGACAAACCAAUGUUGUUCAGUUUGUUCUUUUUUUAUGGAGAGGGGAAAAAAGUAUUUAUUUUCAAACUUAGAUCUCUGUCCAUUGUCAUUUGUUUAUGGCAUUCUGUCCCUUGUUUUUUAAGUCACUACUUUAUUUGAUUUUAAUUAACUCUGUACUGUCCCAUGCAAAUGUUCAAACACCUAACAUGGCUCUUAACAUACUACACAUGGAAGAAAAGAGAAAAACAAAGGUAAAGCUUGUCUCAUCAAUCAAUGUUGUAUGUGAGACCCAUGGAUAAACAUUCACAGUAGGAUAUUAUUUUUUCCGUGGUUGAUUUCAGUGUCAAAUCUGCGCACCUGCAGCCAAGUCAAACAAUUCUCAGUAUCUAUUAGUCGCAACCUACUCCUGUUUAUUAACAGCAACAACAGCAAUCAAUGGGACGAUUGUUAAGUAGCAAUAUGAGGAAUUGACAAUAUGUGCCAAAAAUAGAGCACUUCUUUUGUUAUAUGAUUUGUUAAUGCUGCUAAACAAACACUUUAACUUGUACAUGUUAUGCAUUUAGUUUUCCAUUUUACUUUAGCCCUGACUGUUUCAAUGUUUUCUUUUUUUAUAGACAAGACUUUACAAAUGUAUUAAAAUUGUAGUUGCGAACUUUGACAGAGAUGAUGUACUAUUAAAAGCACAGCCACAUCAGCCCCUGUUUCCCUUCAUGUUCCCAAGUAUGAUAUCUCUUAUGUUCCAAGCAUUAUAUUCUUUGUAAGUCCUCUCUGUAGGCCUUAUGGAAGGCCAUGUGUUUGUGGAUAGAUGGAGUUGUUUGAUAUCUCAACAGAUUAAACUGUUUAUUGAGAAAUCAUGCUUGACUGGACUUUAUGCCCUGUCUGAAUAAAUGUUUGUUUUACUGCUUCAGAUUAAAAUAAUUGUCAGUGUUUCUAUUUUGUUUUCCCCCCUUCAUAUCUGUUAAUUUUCAUAGACAUCUCAACCCCAAUAGUAAGAUAGUAUUGGCAUGUAGUAUAUAAUAUUGGGUUACCAACAUAUCAGCUGCACCUUUUUAUUACAAGAAGUUAUCCAUAUCAGAGUUUCUAAACCAUCUUUGUCCGUAUUGUCAUACGAUGUAAAUAGUAAAAUGUGUUCCCUCAAAAAGAGGGAGGAAAUAGUAUCUUUUGAUUGGUU